ACAAACACACCUUGCUCAAGAUGGUGACGUCACUAAUGGGCUGUUUCAGGUCAAGUACUAUCAAAAGUAGAUAGUAGCGGAGAAGGUGUCAUCUUUAGGCAAAGACUGGCACAGACCCUGCCUCAGGUGCGAGAAGUGCCGAAAGACGCUGUCGUCUGGAUCGCACGCCGAGCAUGAUGGCAAGCCCUACUGCCACAACCCCUG